CAAGCUAGAGUGCGGUAGGGGAGAAGGGAAUUCCUGGUGUAGCGGUGGAAUGCGCAGAUAUCAGGAGGAACACCGAUGGCGAAGGCACUUCUCUGGGCCGUAACUGACGCUGAGGAGCGAAAGCGUGGGGAGCGAACAGGAUUAGAUACCCUGGUAGUCCACGCCGUAAACGGUGGGUGCUAGUUGUGGGUCACAUUCCACGUGAUCCGUGACGCAGCUAACGCAUUAAGCACCCCGCCUGGGGAGUACGGUCGCAAGACUAAAACUCAAAGGAAUUGACGGGGGCCCGCACAAGCGGCGGAGCAUGCGGAUUAAUUCGAUGCAACGCGAAGAACCUUACCAAGGCUUGACAUAUAGAGGAAAAGCGUAGAAAUACGCUCCCCGCAAGGUCUCUAUACAGGUGGUGCAUGGUUGUCGUCAGCUCGUGUCGUGAGAUGUUGGGUUAAGUCCCGCAACGAGCGCAACCCUCGUCCUAUGUUGCCAGCACGUAAUGGUGGGAACUCAUGGGAGACUGCCGGGGUCAACUCGGAGGAAGGUGGGGAUGACGUCAAAUCAUCAUGCCCCUUAUGUCUUGGGCUUCACGCAUGCUACAAUGGCCGGUACAGAGGGCUGCAAUACCGUAAGGUGGAGCGAAUCCCAAAAAGCCGGUCUCAGUUCGGAUUGAGGUCUGCAACUCGACCUCAUGAAGUCGGAGUCGCUAGUAAUCGCAGAUCAGCAACGCUGCGGUGAAUACGUUCCCGGGCCUUGUACACACCGCCCGUCAAGUCACGAAAGUCGGUAACACCCGAAGCCGGUGGCCUAACCGUA
rnacentral:rRNA from 1 species